rnacentral:rRNA from 1 species
UACGGGGGGGGCAAGCGUUGUCCGGAAUCAUUGGGCGUAAAGAGCGUGUAGGCGGCUCGGUAAGUCCGCUGUAAAAGUCAAAGGCUCAACCUUUGAAUGUCAGUGGAUACUGCCGGGCUAGAGUCCGGAAGAGGCGAGUGGAACUCCUGGUGUAGCGGUGGAAUGCGCAGAUAUCAGGAAGAACACCGACGGCGAAGGCAGCUCGCUGGGACGGUACUGACGCUGAGACGCGAAAGCGUGGGGAGCGAACAGG